rnacentral:rRNA from 1 species
GACGAACGCUGGCGGCGUGCUUAACACAUGCAAGUCGAGCGGAAAGGCCUCUUCGGGGGUACUCGAGCGGCGAACGGGUGAGUAACACGUGAGUAAUCUGCCUCUGGCUUCGGGAUAGCCACCGGAAACGGUGAUUAAUACCGGAUACGACACAUCACUGCAUGGUGCGUGUGUGGAAAGUUUUUUCGGCCAGGGAUGUGCUCGCGGCCUAUCAGCUUGUUGGUGGGGUAAUGGCCUACCAAGGCUUCGACGGGUAGCCGGCCUGAGAGGGUGACCGGCCACACUGGGACUGAGACACGGCCCAGACUCCUACGGGAGGCAGCAGUGGGGAAUAUUGGACAAUGGGCGGAAGCCUGAUCCAGCAACGCCGCGUGAGGGAUGACGGCCUUCGGGUUGUAAACCUCUUUCAGCACAGACGAAGCGCAAGUGACGGUAUGUGCAGAAGAAGGACCGGCCAACUACGUGCCAGCAGCCGCGGUAAAAC